UUCGUCACACUAUCAUUAACUGAAUCCAUAGGUUAAUGAGGCGAACCGGGGGAACUGAAACAUCUAAGUACCCCGAGGAAAAGAAAUCAACCGAGAUUCCCCCAGUAGCGGCGAGCGAACGGGGAGCAGCCCAGAGCCUGAAUCAGUGUGUGUGUUAGUGGAAGCGUCUGGAAAGGCGUGCGAUACAGGGUGACAGCCCCGUACACAAAAAUGCACAUGCUGUGAGCUCGAUGAGUAGGGCGGGACACGUGGUAUCCUGUCUGAAUAUGGGGGGACCAUCCUCCAAGGCUAAAUACUCCUGACUGACCGAUAGUGAACCAGUACCGUGAGGGAAAGGCGAAAAGAACCCCGGCGAGGGGAGUGAAAAAGAACCUGAAACCGUGUACGUACAAGCAGUGGGAGCACAGAGCAAUCUGUGUGACUGCGUACCUUUUGUAUAAUGGGUCAGCGACUUAUAUUCUGUAGCAAGGUUAACCGAAUAGGGGAGCCGAAGGGAAACCGAGUCUUAACUGGGCGUUAAGUUGCAGGGUAUAGACCCGAAACCCGGUGAUCUAGCCAUGGGCAGGUUGAAGGUUGGGUAACACUAACUGGAGGACCGAACCGACUAAUGUUGAAAAAUUAGCGGAUGACUUGUGGCUGGGGGUGAAAGGCCAAUCAAACCGGGAGAUAGCUGGUUCUCCCCGAAAGCUAUUUAGGUAGCGCCUCGUGAAUUCAUCUCCGGGGGUAGAGCACUGUUUCGGCAAGGGGGUCAUCCCGACUUACCAACCCGAUGCAAACUGCGAAUACCGGAGAAUGUUAUCACGGGAGACACACGGCGGGUGCUAACGUCCGUCGUGAAGAGGGAAACAACCCAGACCGCCAGCUAAGGUCCCAAAGUCAUGGUUAAGUGGGAAACGAUGUGGGAAGGCCCAGACAGCCAGGAUGUUGGCUUAGAAGCAGCCAUCAUUUAAAGAAAGCGUAAUAGCUCACUGGUCGAGUCGGCCUGCGCGGAAGAUGUAACGGGGCUAAACCAUG
rnacentral:rRNA from 1 species